rnacentral:lncRNA from 1 species
AGCUGAAACCUUGAGGUUGAUCCUAGAAGGGCUUGGAAUCAACAUGAAUCAAGGACAUCAGGGGGGGAGAAGCUGUUAACUUGAAGAGAAGAAAUGGAGAAACUAAAGGUGUUGAGUUGAGUUGGGGCUUGUGCAAAAGAUAGGGCAAGGUGUCCAGAAGUGUCAUGAUGGAUGUGCAAUGUUAGGGCCAAGUCUAGGAGAGACUUAGAAGUGUAUUUGGGAGCAAAUGGACGAGUGUGCAAAGAUAGGGAGAGGCAGUACGGACAUGUACGGACAGUACGGAUCUGUACAGACCAGGGCGACCCAGAUUUGCAUAACUCGGCCAUUUGAGAAGUUUAGGAAUUGGUGCAAAAAUAGGGUGAACCUGACGUCCCGGGAAAGCUUGUGCAAUGUCUGGGCAAGGUUUGAGAGUUAUAAAAGUGGUCCCAGUCUUGUGGAUAAGGUUCUGAUCAGAUGGCAUCAAAGGAGAAUCAAAAAGAUGCCAUUGGAGUGUGAUUGGCUAGUUUGGUCAUGGGACAGGCUGGCCUUGGCUGUAAAGACAAGGGGAGCCACGACCAUGAACCUGGACUGAUCUGUGGACAGAUUAUGAGGAGCCUAAGGAGAGCCAAUCACAGCCCAGCCUUCCCCAUUUUGAAUUAAACCAAUCAGGCUCCAUCUCCUCUUAACCAAUCAGCAUCAACUACUCAGAUUGCAACAAGACCAGCUCAUCUACACCAUCCAUUCCUCUUAAGUUAUUAUCAGCCAUUAGAUAUAGGUUUCUGAUUGUGUAAACCUGUGUAAGCUUAUAAAUAAGCAUGAUGGACGAAAUUGUAUCUCUCUAAGAGAGAGAGGGGGAUUUCCCCUCCUCCUUCAUCAAUGAAAGGGUUUUGAAAACCAGAAACACAAAUUUAUUCUCUAGUCUUAAUCUCUCAGUCUCUCAGUCUCUUAAUCUCUGUUUCUAAGUCUCUUAUACACUCAAAAACACUCUUAUCAAUCUCUGUUCUUAAAUCACCAUUAAAAGGCUCAAUUGGAGCUUAUGCACAUUCACACACACAACCAGAGUAGUACUCUAUAAAAACUCAUCAAUCUCUGUUCUUAAAUCACCAUUAAAAGGCUCAAUUGGAGCUUAUACACAUUCACACACACAACCAGAGUAGUACUCUAUAAAAACUCACAUGGUAUCAGAGCCAGGUUCAUCAGAACCUGGUUGAAGCUUCCGCACAUCUCACACUCAUACCUCAGCUCAAAUCAAGCCAUGAAGACAGCUCCAUCCAGUUCAGUUUCUCCAUGAAGAAGAAGACUGAAGCUUGGCGCUUGUUCCUGGUUCCUCAACCUUUCUCAUACCUGUCCUGAUGAAGAGCCACGUUGGAAGCAAAGGUAGAUGGAGAGGCCUAGCUAACCUGACUCCAAAACGCCUUGUCAAGUGUUUGUUGCAUCUGGUUACAAGAAAGAAGAUGUCUAGAAGAUGGUGACUGUAUGUAUGGAGAAAGGAGGGGUCUUUGAGCUGGAGAAACAAGAAAAUGGUCAUGAGUAGAAGGAAGAGAGGUUGGGUGACGACCUGUAACUCUCAGAUCCAACAAGCCAUGACCUUAAUACCAUUGGAGGUUCAAGGAACCAAACAGGUUCCUUGACUGUAAGCUAUUACUAUCCCUUCUUGAUAAUGAGCUUGUGUUAUUGACUGGUUGUGAUGUUGUGAUGUGAUUGAAAACCUGAGGAUUGUUUAAAGAUUGCUAAAUGAAAAUGAUUUAGAAUCUGUCCCAGGAUGCUUAAAGAGACUUGUUUGGUGAUUGAGAUUGAAUUAAUAUGCUUAGCUCCAGUUCAUAGUGAUGCUUGUUGUGAUUAAUUGAAUCUGCUUGUAUACAUGUAAUGAAUCUGAUUGAAAGCUGUUGCAUAUAGUCUUGUGGCUGUCUUACAUUGAAGCAUUAGAUUUAUGUCUAAAUUGCUGAGUAAAGAAGCUUAAAAAAUUGCCUAAGUAGCUUGUAUUGAAUCUGUUAGGAUCAUGCUAGUGCUUAGAGAGUUUGCUUGCAAAGAUUAGAACUUGAAAAUGUCUAGUUUAAUCUGUUGCAUUGCUUAAAGACAUUGGUGUUCAAACUUGAUGAUGCAUCAAGGGUUGACCCAAUGCACUUGUGUCUUAUCUUUGCUGGAGUUUGAGUGAUGUUUCAGGUUCACAAGAGGUGUUCUUGGUUCACCAUCCAUCCGAGUUGAAAGAGGAAGACUUUGCCCAUUGUGUGGAGCAAUGGAGAGUUGAGAAAGAAGUGGUGAUGCGCCACUGGUGUGAAGUCUCACUGAAGCUCACUUGCAAGCUUGGACCUAUACUCAAUCCAAGCUUGAGGAGGGGAGUUUAGUGAGCUAUCAGUCGGACCAAGAAGGUUCAGAAGGUCCAUUGCAAGCAACUGAAGAUGAAGGAGCCAUCCGGGUCUAGGCAGUGGCGUGUAAGAGUUUUAAGUAAUGUAAAAGAUAAUCUGAGUUUAGAUGAGAAUAAGGAAGAGAUUUGUGUAGUUUAAGAGAUUAAGAGACUAAUGGAGAAUCAUUAUGAAAAGUCUAGAGAGAUUAAUUGUUUAGAACUGUCUGAUUCUUAUUAAUGAUGAGCUCACAAUAUAUAUAGGUCCAUACACAUUAGGGUUUUCGAAAUCAUAAGGAUAAGCAAGCAUGUAGAGUCAAAGAGGAGCUGGUGCUUUAGUUUGAACCGGCCAAUGAUAGUCUCCACACGUUUGAAGCAUCUUCUUGAUCCAAGACUAGAUGUUCUUCCUUUCCAGCUCUUGCCAGCCUGUCCUAGCUGUCAAGCCGCGCCUCCCUUAUCCUCUCCAACGUUCGGAUAAGGUCUUGGUCAAGUGUAACUUCAAGUAAGUCCAUGUAAGUUACCCGGAGAGUUACUUGGCCGCUUUUACCUUUGUACGGCCAAUGGUACGGCCUAUCCGUCCGUACCAUCUCUAUCAACCCAUUUCUUCUCUUAACUCCUUUGCCCUCUUUAUGUCCUCAACUCCUUUGUGUCUUUACCUCUUAUCUCAUAUGUCUCAACUCAUCUCAACAGCGUGUCUAGGCAAGAGAGUGUUCAGAGCACUCUUGGCUGUGAGAAGAUGAAGACUUUAUCAGUGCGGCUUCUAGUGUGAGGUGGCUGAAGAGGUAGCUGAAGCUUCCACAAGCACUCCAUGAAGAUGGCGAGUUCAGAAGGUGUUGCAAUGGAGUAAUGGUGCAGAUCAUGAAGCUAUCCAUCCAAGCUUGUUCCUGUGAGAUUCUCAAGCUUGAGGGGGAGUGUUGAAGCUUACAUGAUCUGAGAGUACUUGGUGGUUAUUCAAGAAGAGGAGCAGAUCAGUUAUGAAGCAUAAUGAAGGAUGAAGAAGCAAUCACCAAUGCGGCCUCUAGAGUGAGGUGAUUGGUACUACAGUCUGAAGCAUCCUGUCAUGAAGGUUUCAGUAACAUGUGUUGAAGCUUACAUGAUCUGAGAGUACUUGGUGGUUAUUCAAGAAGAGGAGCAGAUCAGUUAUGAAGCAUAAUGAAGGAUGAAGAAGCAAUCACCAAUGCGGCCUCUAGAGUGAGGUGAUUGGUACUACAGUCUGAAGCAUCCAGUCAUGAAGGUUUCAGUAACAUGGUGGUGACUCAUGAAGAAGAAGCAGCCAAGACUCAGCUUGUAUCUAUCAAAGAAGAUCUGGUAGUCCGAGCACUUGAUCACAACAAGAAGGUUGUGAGAAAGAGGGAGAGACCAAGAUCUGUUUAAAGAAGAGUACAAGAAGUGUUGAUGAUGAGCAAGAGGAGUGGGUUCUAUCUUGCAUCACAUGAGGGCCAUGAUCCAGAGUCUUUGUGUCCCUUACAUUGUUGGUAAGGCACAAAAACUCACUGGCCAAUCCCUAGGCCUUGGAGACUUUACUCUUUUUCCCUCAUCAAGGUUUUGUCCCAAAGGGUUUUCCUUGGUGAGGUUUUUAAUGAGGAAGUUCUUCAAGGUUCCAAGCUUGACUUAGGAUCAACUAAAGUCAAGCUUGAGGGGGAGUGUUAACUUGAAGAGAAGAAAUGGAGAAACUAAAGGUGUUGAGUUGAGUUGGGGCUUGUGCAAAAGAUAGGGCAAGGUGUCCAGAAGUGUCAUGAUGGAUGUGCAAUGUUAGGGCCAAGUCUAGGAGAGACUUAGAAGUGUAUUUGGGAGCAAAUGGACGAGUGUGCAAAGAUAGGGAGAGACAGUACGGACAUGUACGGACAGUAUGGACAUGUACGGACAGUACGGAUCUGUACAGACCAGGGCGACCCAGAUUUGCAUAACUCGGCCAUUUGAGAAGUUUUGGAGUUGGUGCAAAAAUAGGGCGAACCUGACGUCCCGGGAAAGCUUGUGCAAUGUCUGGGCAAGGUUUGAGAGUUAUAAAAGUGGUCCCAGUCUUGUGGAUAAGGUUCUGAUCAGAUGGCAUCAAAGGAGAAUCAAGAAGAUGCCAUUGGAGUGUGAUUGGCUAGUUUGGUCAUGGGACAGGCUGGCCUUGGCUGUAAAGACAAGGGGAGCCAAGACCAUGAACCUGGACUGAUCUGUGGACAGAUUAGGAGGAGCCUAAGGAGAGCCAAUCACAGCCCAGCCUUCCCCAUUUUGAAUUAAACCAAUCAGGCUCCAUCUCCUCUUAACCAAUCAGCAUCAACUACUCAGAUUGCAACAAGACCAGCUCAUCUACACCAUCCAUUCCUCUUAAGUUAUUAUCAGCCAUUAGAUAUAGGUUUCUGAUUGUGUAAACCUGUGUAAGCUUAUAAAUAAGCAUGAUGGACGAAAUUGUAUCUCUCUAAGAGAGAGAGGGGGAUUUCCCCUCCUCCUUCAUCAAUGAAAGGGUUUUGAAAACCAGAAACACAAAUUUAUUCUCUAGUCUUAAUCUCUCAGUCUCUCAGUCUCUUAAUCUCUGUUUCUAAGUCUCUUAUACACUCAAAAACACUCUUAUCAAUCUCUGUUCUUAAAUCACCAUUAAAAGGCUCAAUUGGAGCUUAUACACAUUCACACACACAACCAGAGUAGUACUCUAUAAAAACUCACAUGGUAUCAGAGCCAGGUUCAUCAGAACCUGGUUGAAGCUUCCGCACAUCUCACACUCAUACCUCAGCUCAAAUCAAGCCAUGAAGACAGCUCCAUCCAGUUCAGUUUCUCCAUGAAGAAGAAGACUGAAGCUU